CGGCAGAAGGAAGUGACGAAUCAGGAAGUGACGAAUCAGGAAGUGAGAUGAGGUUUGAAGAAGAUGGCGGGAGAGAUAGGAGUGUAUGGAACAUAGUACGAUCGAGAAAACGGAAAAAAAAUGAAAAGAGAAGGUCUAACACAGAGGAUACAGAUAGCAAAGUGUUAGCUUAGCAACAAAACAGGAAUUAGAAUUUGGAACAUGUGAGUGAGAAGGCGCAUGGAGUGAACUCCUGAACAUUUGAUCUUUUAAUCGUACCUUUCAGGCAACCUGAAUCUUUUCUAAGACAUUUGGUACGCUCCUUUUCCAUUAUUUGGUCUAUAACUAUAACCAGAAAGGAAUUAUGGCUUCGGAAACCUAAAUCUUCACCGAGCACGACGAGUCAUGGCGACAAGCUACCACUGGAAAAUCUUUUGGAAAAUCUCCGCAACACUUUAAUAGCGGAGCUAACAUCUACCAUCGCAGUACAGACAUGACUAAGACCUGUAAGCCUGACGUGUACUGGUAUGACAUCGUGUGCAAGUAUGCCCAAGGGAAGUACCAGUUCACAACAGGCAAGAAGCCAGGAGCAAAGAAGUGGAAGGAUGCUUUGCACUGUAUUGAUAGUCUCACACAACCAGACCCGUAUUUACGACUUCUUUGGGAAAAGAAUCCCUUGCAAAUACGGUUAUCAUAAGGUAUGUAAUAAAACAUUAUCAUUUUACCUGCACUGGUGACCACUGCCAUAUAACUGUAAUAUUACUAUAUUUCUUCCAAUAUGAGCAUCUUUCUGUUAUGAAAAUGUACAUUAUUUAUGUUUGUAUUGUGUCAAUGAAAAAAAAAAAAGAAUAAUGUUGUUGAAACACUGGAAAUAUUUUCAGACCUAUGGAAACACUAACACUUUUUCCAGUCUGCUCAACAGACAGGGUUAAGUCCAGGGAGUCAGCCAUGCAGCCAGCCCCACAGACCAGUACAGCCAUGCAGCAGGUCCCACAGACCAGUACAGGAAAGCAGCCAGUGCCACAGUCUAGUAUAGGAUUGCAGCAUAGUGAAAUGGGCAUCGCUCUGCCAGAGUUGCAGGUUGAAGGUCAGGAGGAUGAGACACAUCCAGCUCAGCUGAUCUCAGUUUAGACACUUCACACACCUCCAGCUGUCUUAAUGUACAUGUUGAGCCAUUCAACUCAUCAUCCCAGGUAACAUGACAAUUUUUUUUAUUUUCAGUCAGUAAAAUUACCUAGGAAAUUAAUUUACAGGUGCUAUGAAUGAGUUGUUGCAUGAUUAAUCCACAAGUAAUCUUUUUUUAUAUUGACUUUUGAACACAGUCAAGUUUAUAACCAAAGUUCUCUCUCUCACAUGUUUACAAAUAAAUAAUCUAGGAAACCAGCGUUGAGGGUGAUGACUCUCACUUUCCUGACAGUGACAUUGAGGACAUUAACUCUGGUGUUCCUGGCCCAUCAGCUCCAGAUAGUCGGUGUGAUUCAAGGGUUGUUUCUGGAUGGGAGGCAGUGGAUAACUUGGCAGGGUACCUUGUUGGUCUCAACCGCACUAUAACGGCUCUGUCAACCACUGAGAUAUCUCAGAUUUUGCGGUUGUAUUCAUGCCAUUGACCAGUCUCCAUAUAAAUAUUCGCAUAAAUGCAAGAGUUAUAUUUACUUAAAUGCCAGAGUUAAGAGUUUAUAGUUAUAUUUAUAAAUACAAGAGACUUAUAAAUAACAUGUUAAUAGAUGUUAGAUCUGAGCUUUUGUAAUAAAGAGGAUUUGGG